rnacentral:rRNA from 1 species
CAGCCGCGGUAAUACGUAGGGGGCUAGCGUUAUCCGGAAUUACUGGGCGUAAAGGGUGCGUAGGAGGCAUGGUAAGUCAGAUGUGAAGACUUGGGGCUCAACUCCAAGAUCGCAUCCGAAACUGCUAAGCUAUAGUGCAGGAGAGGAAAGCGGAAUUCCGAGUGUAGCGGUGAAAUGCGUAUAGAUUCGGAGGAACACCAGUAGCGAAGGCGGCUUUCUGGACUGUAACUGCCACUGAGGCACGAAAUCGUUGGGAGCUAACAGGAUUAGAUACCCCGGUAGUC